UACGUAGGUGGCAAGCGUUGUCCGGAUUUACUGGGCGUAAAGAGCGCGCAGGCGGUCGUUCAAGUCGCGUGUGAAAGCCCCCGGCUCAACUGGGGAGGGUCACGCGAUACUGAUCGACUCGAAGGCAGGAGAGGGUAGUGGAAUUCCCGGUGUAGUGGCGAAAUGCGUAGAUAUCGGGAGGAAUACCGAUGGCGAAGGCAGGUCUCUGGGCUGACACUGACGCUCAUGCACGAAAGCGUGGGGAGCAAACAGG
rnacentral:rRNA from 1 species